rnacentral:lncRNA from 1 species
CGAAAACUGAAGUUGUCUUACUUUUCCUUAAAAAAGGAAAAAGUUUGCUCUUGAAGUAUUGCCAACAAAUAAUACUUUCAGAACCUCUUGCAUAGUUCGGAUGCCAAAGUCACACUGGAAGUCAGUGAGAUUCAAGAUUUUAACUCGCACUGCAAAUGUGAUUCAAAGGCUUUAAGGGUGAAGCGUCUGUCCCUGCAGAGGAUCUGAGCAAGGCUCCUUUACCCUUCAGGUUCUGGGCUGAUCGGUAGGACCAAGAGGUGGGAGAGAGGUCACAGUGGGCUCCUGCCAUCUACGGAUAUGCUGAUCAUAAGUAAGUUUUGGAGGAGAUGGCUGGAUCCAUUCUUACAGAGAUGGCUUCUCUUGUCAAGAUCUGUCUGAAGAUGCACUGUGCUUGGUGAUUUUCCUUAAUGCCGUGGUUCUGCAGAGAACUGCCUUGGUGAGCUCUUUACCUUCUGUGUGCGUUUCCAGGUUCGCCUGAAUGUGGAAAAGAGUGAAGAUGAACCACAGUGGCUCAGGAAGCACAUAACACAAUGCUUCUCAUUUUAAGAGUCUGAUAAUUAAGCCAUUAAAGAGUGCUGGGACUAGCAAUACCAUGUCUAUGGGGAGCUAAUUACUUGUACCACUGGUAAAAUACCAUGACAACAAUAAAGGACAUUUUAUAGACAAGGAAUGCUGACAAGCUCCUGCCCUGAAGCAUGCAGCUGGAGGGCCCAGCCUGUACCCUUCCAAGUCAGUGGAACAUCUCCAGUGCACAACAGCAACUUGGGACCCGCAUUUCUGCUGUCAAGUUUGCGUGGAAAUAAAUAGGAGGCAUCACUUUUGGACCAGUCUACGUGUUACAGCAGAACAGCCCCCUUGGCCUUCAUUCCAUUCCUCUUCCUGGUGGGACAGAAGCAUCUGAAUGGUAUAUGGGGGUAUGUGUAUCACUGCGUGCCAGGACAGAUAGCGUAGAGCUGCAGCUGUUGGCCUAUCAAAACAGC